AAUCUUGCGCACUGGGCGAAAGCCUGACGCAGCCAUGCCGCGCGAAUGAUGAAGGUCUUAGGAUUGUAAAAUUCUUUCACCGGGGACGAUAAUGACUGUACCCGCAGCAGAAUCCCCGGCUCACGUCGUCCCAGCAGCCGCGGUAAUACGAAGGGGGCUAGCGUUGCUCGGAAUUACUGGGCGUAAAGGGCGCGUAGGCGGGCAUUUAAGUCAGGGGUGAAAUCCCAGAGCUCAACUCUGGAACUGCCUUUGAUACUGGGUGUCUUGAGUGUGAGAGAGGUAUGUGGAACUCCGAGUGUAGAGGUGAAAUUCGUAGAUAUUCGGAAGAACACCAGUGGCGAAGGCGACAUACUGGCUCAUUACUGACGCUGAGGCGCGAAAGCGUGGGGAGCAAACAG
rnacentral:rRNA from 1 species